GACGGAGGAUGCAAGUGUUAUCCGGAAUCACUGGGCGUAAAGCGUCUGUAGGUGGUUUAAAAAGUCCACUGUUAAAGAUUGAAGCUUAACUUCAAAAAUGCCGUGGAAACUUUUAAACUUGAGUAUGAUGAGGGGUAGAGGAAUUUCCAGUGGAGCGGUGAAAUGCGUAGAUAUUGGAAAGACCACCAAUGGCGAAGGCACUCUACUGGGCCAUUACUGACACUGAGAGACGAAAGCUAGGGGAGCAAAUGGG
rnacentral:rRNA from 1 species